rnacentral:rRNA from 1 species
AUGCGACAGCGCAAAUGGCCGGGGAACCCGGUGUGUUCUUUCUGUCAACAGGUUGAAACCUCCCAGCAUCUUUUCUUUGAAUGCCCAGUUGCCAGGGUAGUGUGGCGAUCCAUUGGAGUAACCCUUGGGACUGAUCUUUGUCCUAGAAACCAAUGGCAAUUCUUUACAUGGUGCUAUUCUUUCAUACCUGAUUAUGAGACCUUCUAUACUGUGGCCUUGGGUGCAGUUACCUGGUCUAUUUGGUUGGCACGCAACAGUGCUACUUUUGAGAAAAAAAUGAUCAAUACCCCUUUUGAGAUUGUCUUUACGGUGGUCUCUUUCCUAUUAUAUUGGGCAGGUCUGCAAGACAUGGGCGACGCCAAGCUACUUCGUACGGGAGCGGAGAUGAUUCGCAAUGGGACUCUGAUGCUGAUGAGGACCUGUGAUGCGGCGGUCAAGAUUGGUGGCUCCAGCUGA